ensembl:lncRNA
AUGUCUCAGCCACAGACCCAGUCUGACCAUCAGAUCCAAACCCAAACCCAUCCUGACCAGCAGAUCGAGACCCAGCCUGACCAGCAGACUCACCCUGAAGCUCAGCAGCUCCAGAUUAAGGCUGAAGGCCAUACUCAACCCCAGCCCCAUCCUCAGCAUAAACCUAUCCUACCAAAGCCCCGUAAAAGAAAACAAGAGUCCCAACCCCCAGAGUCUCCGGUCCACCAUCAGCCCCAGAUACAGGGCCAGCCCCAGCCUCAGCAAAUUCAGCUGCUGACUGCCAAGCCAAACCCCCAAAAAAUAAAAAGGGUAAAGUAAACUUUCUUGCAGCCAAUCUCUUAUGCAGAAUUCAUUACG